AUGGAACCACCGGAAGACGGAGAACUGGCGGCGCGUCUGCCGGAGGAUGUGCUCGUCGAUGUGCUCAGCCGCGUGACGGGGCCGCGCUCGCUCGCCGUGUCGCGCUGCGUAUGCAAAGCGUGGCGGGCCAUCAUCGACGGCGAGGGACUCAUGCGCAGGGAGCUCCCGUUCAGCGGCAUCUUCAUCUGCUUCAGGGAGCUCUGUCUGCCAGAGUUCUUCUCACGCCCCGCGUCUCUGGAUCGGCCGGCUAUCAGCGGCAAGCUCGAUUUCCUGCCCAGGGCCAUUGAAGUUCGUCCCGAUGGCAACUACUACAUCGAGGAUCACUGCAAUGGACUCCUCUUGCUCCAAGGGAGCUACAUCGAUGAUCACUACGUGGUUAACCCUGCCACGCGGUGGUGGAACGCUCUGCCCUUAUGCCUGGACAAUCGUACCGGGGGAAUCGUCCGUGGUGAUUAUUAUCUGGCCUUUGAUCCCACGGUGUCAUCCCACUACCAGGUGUUUCAGAUCCCUUAUUUGGAUUGGGGAGAAGAUGAGAUUGACCCGACAUCCGAAUGGCCUCCAUCUCCAUAUGUAUUGCAUGUAUUCUCUUCAAGGAGAGGCUGUUGGGAGGAGAGGCUGUUUGUUCGAGAAGGGGAUGCCGCAGGAACCGUUGCAAAUGCACGUGUGCGCUUUGAGGGCCAACAAAACUCAGUCUAUUGGCACGGAUCCCUUUACGUGCAUUGUCAAAGUGAUUUUGUUAUGAGAUUUUGCAGAAUAUCUUUGUCUGAAGAUAAGUACAGUAUGAUUAAGCCACCAAUGGAUAUUGGGUGGAGCAGUUAUCUAGGAUUAUCUGAAAAAGGUGUGUACUGUGCAUCAUUUGUUGAGAAUGCUCACAUUCUGGUUUACACCCUCACUGAAUCGUGUGAUCAGUUCGAGUGGAUAUUAAAGAACGACUAUGACCUUAAGCCUGUGCAAAUGUUUGAUGGCCAAGUUAAUGGACCCUGGAUCUUAGAAGACAUUAACUAUGACAAUUUUCGUUCUCAUCUACCAAGUAUCAACAAGGAAGAAGUAAUUCAAGAGAAAUUUGAGUGGAACUCUGAUGAUAACGAUUCACCCAUACAAAGAGAUUCUCUUUUUGAGUAG
rnacentral:rRNA from 1 species